UGUCCCAGAACCUAAUACAUUUGAAUGAUCCACCAGCUGGGCCUCUUGCCCCAUAUGCCAGACUGGGGACCCCUGCUGAAGCACCCAGCACCUUAAGAUAUGGAAGGCACAAGAGACAGCCAUCACCCUGACUCUCACUGUGGAUCAACAUGCUAUGCUGCUGAGAACACCAAGUCCCCUCAUGGCUGGGAAAGGCAUUAUCUACUGGGAUUUGCAAUGGGUCACACUGUCAGGAUGUGUGAAUUACUCCCCCCGCCCCCAUCCCCAGAAUGGGUCUCCACUGAGAUUCUGUUUUCUUGCUGUAAGCUGGACUUGUAGAAAUGCACCGUACUUGGAAUGGAACAUGCAUGCACGAUUCGAAGACGGGAGAAGGUGGGAAUUCUGGUCUGGCUUAUCACUUCCCCUGUCUACUUCUUCAUGACUGACAGUGCUGCUUCCUCUGGUCAACAUGUAUGGGAUGUACAGUCAGGUCAAGUUCCUAAAGCUGCAGUCCCAUAAACAUCUAAGGAUCAAGCCACAAGUGUAAUUCUUGCAGAAGAGGAAGCCCUUCUCACCCAGGAAGCCACCAAAUCAGCCUCCUCCAUGCUAGUGAAACCCCUUGCUAACUGCUCAGGGCACCUCGUGGAAGAUGCGAGUGUGUAAGAUCCUAAGAUUGUCAUCAGGGGUGGAAUGUCAGAGGAGUCAUCAAGAGGACAUGAUGUGGGAGCUGUUUUCAAGGACUCAGCCUUGAGGGAUCACUACGCUGUUGUGUUGGGAGGACUCUGUAUGUGACUAUCCCCAGCGAAGGCCUCUCACCUUGUAAGAUGCUGGCAGGUGAUUGCAGAGGGAUACUCAUUUUGCAGCCUCCUAAAACAAGCCUUGUGUGUAAGUUUUUUUCCUUAU